rnacentral:misc_RNA from 1 species
AAAAAGCUUCCGUAGGUGAACCUGCGGAAGGAUCAUUAGAGAGAGAGAACAAAAAAGUGCUUCUGCUUGCUCAGGAGCGCCUCAACAUGGAUUGAAGCAAAAAUAGGUCGGCCUUGGGAACAGCAGCAGCAGCAGCAUCAGCAGCAAGCAACGAAAUUCCCCCACUGCAAAGACGGUCUAGGAGGGAGGAGUGUUGUUGUUGUUGUUAUUGCGGUCCGUCCAGCAGUUCCGGGCCCCGACAUCAGCAGCAGCAGCAGCAGCAGCAGCAGCAUGGCUGCCUGCCUGCCUGCCUGCCUGCCUGCCUGAAUUGACUGAUUGUGGUCAGUAGUGGUGCUACUACUACUGGACAGUGAAAGAGGACUGUGCCUUUUGUCGUUUUCGGACAACAAACGGAGGAAGCCGUUGUUGUUGUCGUGCGGUUGUGGAGGCUGCCGCCGCUGCCUGCCGAAUUUGGCAGCAGCAGCGAAAAGGUGCCUCCUCCUUUACAUCCAAGGUGUUUUAUCGUUUGUAAACCGUGAAUUGCGUCUUCCCUUUUGGGAAGUCUAGAUUACAAAAACCAUAGAAUAACUCUUAACGGGGGAUCACUCGGCUCGUGGGUCGAUGAAGAACGCAGCAAGCU